rnacentral:rRNA from 1 species
GGGUUGUGAGGUUAAGCGACUAAGCGUACACGGUGGAUGCCCUGGCAGUCAGAGGCGAUGAAGGACGUGCUAAUCUGCGAUAAGCGCCGGUAAGGUGAUAUGAACCGUUAUAACCGGCGAUUUCCGAAUGGGGAAACCCAGUGUGACUCGUCACACUAUCAUUAACUGAAUCCAUAGGUUAAUGAGGCGAACCGGGGGAACUGAAACAUCUAAGUACCCCGAGGAAAAGAAAUCAACCGAGAUUCCCCCAGUAGCGGCGAGCGAACGGGGAGGAGCCCAGAGCCUGAAUCAGCAUGUGUGUUAGUGGAAGCGUCUGGAAAGGCGCGCGAUACAGGGUGACAGCCCCGUACACAAAAGCGCAUAUGCUGUGAGCUCGAUGAGUAGGGCGGGACACGUGGUAUCCUGUCUGAAUAUGGGGGGACCAUCCUCCAAGGCUAAAUACUCCUGACUGACCGAUAGUGAACCAGUACCGUGAGGGAAAGGCGAAAAGAACCCCGGCGAGGGGAGUGAAAAAGAACCUGAAACCGUGUACGUACAAGCAGUGGGAGCCCCACCACUAAGCCAGUGGUGAACUCCACAUACGCAUCCUUUGCUGAGGAUACGGUUAACGGAGCGAAAGCGACGUUCAACCGCAAAAGAAGCAGAGGGGGCUUAGUGGUGGGGUGACUGCGUACCUUUUGUAUAAUGGGUCAGCGACUUAUAUUCUGUAGCAAGGUUAACCGAAUAGGGGAGCCGGAGGGAAACCGAGUCUUAAUUGGGCGUUAAGUUGCAGGGUAUAGACCCGAAACCCGGUGAUCUAGCCAUGGGCAGGUUGAAGGUUGGGUAACACUAACUGGAGGACCGAACCGACUAAUGUUGAAAAAUUAGCGGAUGACCUGUGGCUGGGGGUGAAAGGCCAAUCAAAC